rnacentral:rRNA from 1 species
UCGGGAAACUGAUGCUAAUACCUCAUAAUACUGAGGAGUUAAAACAGUUAAGACUGGCCAAAAGAGGAGCUUGCGUCUGAUUAGCUAGUUGGUGGGGGUAAGAGCCUCCCAAGGCCACGAUCAGUAGCUGGUUUGAGAGGAUGAUCAGCCACACUGGGACUGAGACACGGCCCAGACUCCUACGGGAGGCAGCAGUGAGGAAUUUUCCGCAAUGGGCGAAAGCCUGACGGAGCAAUACCGCGUGGGUGAAGAAGGCCUGUGGGUCGUAAAACCCUUUUCUCGGAGAAGAACAAAUGACGUAUCUGAGGAAUAAGCCCCGGCUAACCCUGUGCCAGCAGCCGCGGUAAUACAGGGGGGGCAAGCGUUAUCCGGAAUGAUUGGGCGUAAAGCGUCUGUAGGUGGUUUAAAAAGUCUACUGUCAAAUACCAAGGCUUAACCUUGGACAGGCAGUAGAGUACUUUUAGACUUGAGUGCGGUAGAGGUAGAGGGAAUCCCUAGCGUAACAGUGAAAUGUGUAGAUUUUAGGGAGAACACCAGCGGCGAAGGCGCUCUACUGGGCCGAGACUGACACUGAGAGACGAAAGCUAAGGGAGAGAAUAGGAUUAGAUACCCUAGUAUUCUUAGCUGUAAACGAUGGAAACUAAGUGCUGCCGAAUGCAGUGCUGCAGCUAACGCGUUAAGUUUCCCGCCUGGGGAGUAUGCCCGCAAGGGUGAAACUCAAAGGAAUUGACGGGGGCCCGCACAAGCAGUGGAUUAUGUGGUUUAAUUCGAUACAACGCGAAGAACCUUACCAAGGUUUGACAUACUCAGAAUUAUCCAGAAAUGGAUUAGUGCCAGCAAUGGAACUGAGAUACAGGUGGUGCAUGGCUGUCGUCAGCUCGUGCGUUGACGUGUAUGGUUAAGUCCUGCAACGAGCGCAACCCUCGUCUUUAGUUAAUUACUCUAAAGAGACUGCCAGCGUAAGCUGGAGGAAGGUGAGGAUGACGUCAAGUCAGCAUGCCCCUUACAUCUUGGGCUACACACGUAAUACAAUGGUUGGGACAAUCAGAAGCGAUCCUGCGAAGGCUAGCGAAUCUGUUAAACUCAACCUCAGUUCGGAUUGCAGGCUGCAACUCGCCUGCAUGAAGUCGGAAUUGCUAGUAAUCGCCAAUCAGCUAUGUGGCGGUGAAUACGUUCCCGGGCCUUGUACACACCGCCCGUCACAUGCAUAAAUUAUGCGGAAGUCUAAGUCUUUAGUUUAACCUUUUGGAGAACGGUGCCUAAACUUUAGCCUGAGAUAAGUAUGAAGUCGAAACAAGG